rnacentral:rRNA from 1 species
ACGAAGCGACGCCGCGUGUGGGAAGAAGGCCUUCGGGUUGUAAACCACUGUCGGGAGUUAGGAAAUGCAGGUAGCGUUAAUAGCGCACUUGCUUGACUAAGGCUCCAGAGGAAGCCACGGCUAACUCUGUGCCAGCAGCCGCGGUAAUACAGAGGCGGCAAGCGUUAGUUCGGAAUUAUUGGGGCGUAAAGAGCACGUAGGCGGCCUUGCAAGUCAGUUGUGAAAGCCUUCCGCUUAACGGAAGAACGGCAUCUGAUACUACAGGGCUUGAGUACGGGAGGGGAGAGUGGAACUUCUGGUGGAGCGGUGAAAUGCGUAGAUAUCAGAAGGAACGCCGGCGGCGAAAGCGACUCUCUGGUCCGAAACUGACGCUGAGUGUGCGAAAGCUAGGGGAGCAAACGGGAUUAGAUACCCCGGUAGUCCUAGCCGUAAAAGAUGGGCACUAAGUAGAGGGGUUU